rnacentral:rRNA from 1 species
AACGUAGGACGCAAGCGUUAUCCGGAAUCAUUGGGCGUAAAGAGCGCGUAGGCGGCCCGAUAAGUCCGCUGUGAAAGUCAAGGGCUCAACCCUUGAAUGCCGGUGGAUACUAUCGGGCUAGAGUCCGGAAGAGGCGAGUGGAAUUCCUGGUGUAGCGGUGAAAUGCGCAGAUAUCAGGAGGAACACCAAUGGCGAAGGCAGCUCGCUGGGACGGUACUGACGCUGAGGAGCGAAAGCGUGGGGAGCGAACAGG